CCUACGGGGUGCUGCAGUGAGGAAUAUUGGUCAAUGGACGAGAGUCUGAACCAGCCAAGUAGCGUGAAGGAUGACCGCCCUAUGGGUUGUAAACUUCUUUUAUAUGGGAAUAAAAUGUUCCACGUGUGGGAUUUUGUAUGUACCAUAUGAAUAAGGAUCGGCUAACUCCGUGCCAGCAGCCGCGGUAAUACGGAGGAUCCGAGCGUUAUCCGGAUUUAUUGGGUUUAAAGGGAGCGUAGGUGGAUUGUUAAGUCAGUUGUGAAAGUUUGCGGCUCAACCGUAAAAUUGCAGUUGAAACUGGCAGUCUUGAGUACAGUAGAGGUGGGCGGAAUUCGUGGUGUAGCGGUGAAAUGCUUAGAUAUCACGAAGAACUCCGAUUGCGAAGGCAGUUCACUGGACUGCAACUGACACUGAGGCUCGAAAGUGUGGGUAUCAAACAGGAUUAGAUACCCGGGUAGUC
rnacentral:rRNA from 1 species